AAAUAGAUACCCUGGUAGUCCACGCCGUAAACCGACUGUCGACUUGGAGGUUGUUCCCUUGAGGAGUGGGCUUCCGGGAGCUAACGCGUUAAGUCGACCGCCUGGGGAGUACGGCCGCAAGGUUAAAACUCAAAUGAAUUGACGGGGGCCCGCACAAGCGGUGGAGCAUGUGGUUUAAUUCGAUGCAACGCGAAGAACCUUACCUACUCUUGACAUCCACGGAACUUUUCAGAGAUGAAUUGGUGCCUUCGGGAACCGUGAGACAGGUGCUGCAUGGCUGUCGUCAGCUCGUGUUGUGAAAUGUUGGGUUAAGUCCCGCAACGAGCGCAACCCUUAUCCUUUGUUGCCAGCGGUUAGGCCGGGAACUCAAAGGAGACUGCCAGUGAUAAACUGGAGGAAGGUGGGGAUGACGUCAAGUCAUCAUGGCCCUUACGAGUAGGGCUACACACGUGCUACAAUGGCGCAUACAAAGAGAAGCGACCUCGCGAGAGCAAGCGGACCUCAUAAAGUGCGUCGUAGUCCGGAUUGGAGU
rnacentral:rRNA from 1 species